UACCCGCAGCACAAGUGGUGGUCAUUAUUAUUGGGCCUAAAGCGUCCGUAGCUGGCUUGUUAGAUGCCUGGGUAAAUCGAUGCGCUCAACGUAUCGAACUCCGGGUAGACCGGCAAGCUUGGGACCGGGAGAGGCGUGAGCUACUCGAGGGGUAGGGGUAAAAUCCUGUAAUCCUUCGGGGAGGACCAGUGGCGAAGGCGGCUUGCCAGAAUGCGCUCGACGGUGAGGGAUGAAAGCUGGGGGAGCAAACCGG
rnacentral:rRNA from 1 species